rnacentral:rRNA from 1 species
GACAGAGGAUGCAAGCGUUAUCCGGAAUGAUUGGGCGUAAAGCGUCUGUAGGUGGCUUUUUAAGUCUGCCGUCAAAUCCCAGGGCUUAACCCUGGACAGGCGGUGGAAACUACCAAGCUGGAGUACGGUAGGGGCAGGGGGAAUUUCCGGUGGAGCGGUGAGAUGCGUAGAGAUCGGAAAGAACACCAACGGCGAAAGCACUCUGCUGGGCCGACACUGACACUGAGAGACGAAAGCUAGGGGAGCGAAUGGG